rnacentral:rRNA from 1 species
AGUGAACGCUGGCGGUAGGCAUAACACAUGCAAGUCGAACGGCAGCACAUUAAGAGUUUGCUCUUACGGGUGGCGAGUGGCGGACGGGUGUGGAAUACAUCGGAAUCUACUUUUUCGUGGGGGAUAACGUAGGGAAACUUUCGCUAAUACCGCAUACGACCUACGGGUGAAAGCAGGGGAUCUUCGGACCUUUCGCGAUUGAAUGAGCCGAAGUCGGAUUAGCUAGUUGGCGGGGUAAAGGCCAACCAAGGCGACGAUCCGUAGCUGGUCUGAGAGGAUGAUCAGCCACACUGGAACUGAGACACGGUCCAGACUCCUACGGGAGGCAGCAGUGGGGAAUAUUGGACAAUGGGCGCAAGCCUGAUCCAGCCAUACCGCGUGGGUGAAGAAGGCCUUCGGGUUGUAAAGCCCUUUUGUUGGGAAAGAAAAGCAGCAGGUUAAUACCCCGCUGUUCUGACGGUACCCAAAGAAUAAGCACCGGCUAACUUCGUG